GCCUGGGUGGCUCAGUUGGUUUAGUGGCUGACUUCGGCUCAGGUCCUGAUCUUGUGGUUUGUGGGUUCGAGCCCCGCAUCGGGCU
rnacentral:tRNA from 1 species